rnacentral:sRNA from 1 species
UUGUGGUGGAUGGCCAGAGUUAUCUGCUGCUGAUCCGAGAUGAAGGAGGCCCCCCUGAGCUCCAGUUUGCUGCCUGGGUGGAUGCAGUGGUGUUUGUAUUCAGCCUGGAGGAUGAAAUCAGUUUCCAGACGGUGUACAACUACUUCCUGCGUCUCUGCAGCUUCCGCAACGCCAGCGAGGUGCCCAUGGUGCUUGUGGGCACGCAGGGUGAGGCGGGGCCCUGCAGGAGCUGGCAGAGAGCAGGAAGCCCCGGGCAACGAUGCAUGGGGGCAGGGAUGGGCAGGUGUGAGAAAGCUCCCAAGCCCCUACUCUUUUCCCAGUGCUGACCGGGACCCUCAGCACUCUCCGUGCUGCUCGUGUCUGAGGGCUUUUGCCCCCACUGAAACCUGCUGUCCCUGUGACUAGCAGGUCUGUAUUUUUUUCGAUGAAUAAACGUGCUCAGAGCUUAAGUGCUUGCUGGUUUGCACUCAGUGAGGCCAUGGCAGGGUUGAAAUGAGACCCAGGCACCCGCGUUCUUGGUGCUGUGUGUUCCACUCACCAGGCCCUUUGCCCACCUGCCCUUGGGCCAAAUGCCCCCACCACACUACCC